ensembl:lncRNA
UGAGUCCUGUGAGCCUUUCUAACAAAUGAUGGAACCUCAGUCAGGGGUCAAGGAUCCCCUUGUUUAUAGCCAGUCGGUCAGUAUUUUGGUGUCUGAAGCGGAGGCAGGCUUGCAGGACCAAGCCCUUAACCUGUGGGAUCUGAUGCUGACUCCGGGUAGACAGUGUCAGGGCUGAAUUGAAUUGGAGGCCACCCAGCUGGUAUUGGAGGACUGGAGAAGACAUCGCGCAUUUGGUGUCAGCAGUGUUCAUGCAGGAUUUUAGUUGUGGCAUCUAGUUCCCUGACCAAGGAUCAAACCCAGCCCCCUGUACUGGAAACCUGGAGUCUUAGCCACUGGAUCACCAAGGAAGUCCCUCUCAUGCCAUCUUCUACUCCACUAUCUCCUCUUGUUUCCUUGACUGUUUUGGAGGAUUUUUUUCCCCCUGGUUUCAAAAGCAAUACACAGUUGCAUCAUGCAGGAUCAAGUUCCCUGACCAGGGAUCAAACCCGGGCCCCCUGUAUUGGGAGCAUGGAGUCCUAACUACUAGACCUCCGGAAUACACUUACUGGGGCUUCCCAGGUGGUGCUAGUGGCCGUGCAGUGACCAGCGCAGGAGUCAGCUGGUGAUGCAGGUCAUGCCGUGACAGGCUGGUGCCAGUGCGGAAGACGUGAGACUUGGGUUCAGUCCUUGAGUCAGGAAGAUCUCCUCCUGCAAGAGGGCACAGCAACCCACUCCAGUGUUCUUGCCUAGAGUAUCCCAUUGACAGAGGAGCCUGGCAGGCCACGGCCCAUGGGGUCACUAAGAGUGGGACACGACUGAAGAGACUUAGCACUCACGCAUGUACCCUUUUUCACCGGCUCUUACUCUAUUUAUAAAGUUGUGCAAACAUCACCACUAUCUAAUUCUGGGAUAUUUUCAACACCCUAAAGCGAAACCCUGUACCCACAGUAGUCAUUUUCCAUUUUCCUACCCUAUAGAUAUUAAAAGUGCCAGGGACUUCCCUGCUGGUCCAGUGGUUAACAUUGCAUCCUUCCAAUGCGGGGGGUAUGGGUUUGAUCCCUGGUCAGGGAACUAAGAUCCCACCUCGUGGUGUGGCUAAAAAUAAAUAAAUAAAAGUGCCAGAUCUUUGCCUUGUUGUUUUUUAACUCAGCAAAAUACUUAGCACUGGGACAGGCUCAUAAUGUGCACUUAAU